rnacentral:rRNA from 1 species
CAGUAGCCGCGGUAAUACGUAGGUGGCAAGCGUUGUCCGGAAUUAUUGGGCGUAAAGGGCUCGCAGGCGGUUUCUUAAGUCUGAUGUGCAAGCCCCCGGCUCAACCGGGGAGGGUCAUUGGAAACUGGGAAACUUGAGUGCAGAAGAGGAGAGUGGAAUUCCACGUGUAGCGGUGAAAUGCGUAGAGAUGUGGAGGAACACCAGUGGCGAAGGCGACUCUCUGGUCUGUAGCUGACGCUGAGGAGCGAAAGCGUGGGGAGCGAACAGGAUUAGAUACCCCCGUAGUCCCUGUCUCUUAUAC